GUCUACAGUCCUACCUCCCUGAGUGUGCCUGAUCUCAUCUGAUCUCAGAGCUAAGCAGGGUCGGGUCUGGUUAGUACUUGUAGACUGCCAGGGAAUACUGGGUGCUGUAAGGC
rnacentral:rRNA from 1 species